UGCAGGUCUGGAUUCCACUCCUGCCAUUGUCAUGCCUUCUUGAGGAGUAUCCAGGGAACAUUUUACACUCCCAGACUCCAUAAAUUCCCUGGGCUGAUACCAGAGGCUGAGAUGUAUGCACUUGACUGAGACAUUCACCGGGGAUUUGCUGAGGCCAAAAUUAAAUCAGCUGUUGCACCGAGAAGGGAGGGAGUCCUAUCUGCACGUGCCUCUUGCCCAGAGUGUCAGAGAGUUUGGACCCAGGUGUCUGAGUUCUGCCACAAAAGCUCUGCUGUGCACGAGAACAUUUCAGGAUACUGCUGCAAGCACUUCAGUGUGAUUUGCUGAAUGCUAUCUAACUAAUACUUUGGAUA